UACGUAGGGGGCGAGCGUUGUCCGGAAUGAUUGGGCGUAAAGGGCGCGUAGGCGGCCUGCUAAGUCUGGAGUGAAAGUCCUGCUUUCAAGGUGGGAAUUGCUUUGGAUACUGGUAGGCUGGAGUGCAGGAGAGGAAAGCGGAAUUACCGGUGUAGCGGUGAAAUGCGUAGAGAUCGGUAGGAACACCAGUGGCGAAGGCGGCUUUCUGGACUGUAACUGACGCUGAGGCGCGAAAGCGUGGGGAGCAAACAGG
rnacentral:rRNA from 1 species